rnacentral:misc_RNA from 1 species
GACGAACCGUCCAAACGUUAUUCGGAAUUAUUGGGCUUAAAGGGUGCGUAGGCGGUGCGGUAAGUCGGGUGUGAAAUCCCUCAGCUCAACUGAGGAACUGCGCUCGAUACUGCCGUGCUUGAGGAAGAUAGAGGUCAGCGGAACUGAUGGUGGAGCGGUGAAAUGCGUUGAUAUCAUCAGGAACACCAGUGGCGAAAGCGGCUGACUGGAUCUUUUCUGACGCUGAGGCACGAAAGCUAGGGGAGCGAACGGG